GGUCCAUGACUGGGGCUCCUAAGCUUAUGGUAAUAUAACUAAUAGAUGAUGAUGAUGAUGAUGAUAAUAAUUGUGACAGACGUGCUAUUGCCAAGUAAAGCCCUUACAGAGUGUAUUCUGCUGUCGAUGGCAUCAUUGGGAAUUGAAUAUGUUUAGUGAGGACAAGACAGAGUCCCAUGACUGCAAAACAACAUAGGGGACUUCUCUCAUUGACUUCAGAAGGGAUCAGGAUUUUACCCUACAGUUGUGAAAAAUUCAUCUGCCACAUCUGAUUGAAUUGAAUACCAGAUUAGUUGAAAAUGAUAAUAUCAUGAUGAUAGUACCUACAAUUAUCACUGCAUCUUUUCUACACGCUUCAAAUCCUCAGCCCUCGGAAGCUACACCCUGGAGAGUUUUGCAUAUUCUAGUUCAAACCGGAUUCUCCAGGAACUAACAGAUGAAGAAAGGAUUUUUGAAUAAAUAGCCUGGUUUUAAAUAGGCUCAUGGCCUUCUUCCUGGUCACGGAGAUCCUCAAUCCUUGGGGAAAUGUUGGCAGGACUGGGCUUACUGUGGCCCCAUAAGAUUGGGUGCAUGUUCUGGGCUGAAGCUCUGAUGAAUUUGAAACCACAAGGAAACCCGCUGGGUGGGGUUUUGAAGGACUACUUCUGCCAGAGCCCAUGUCUGGAUUGGGGUGGCCUCUAGUAAGCUUAUUAGCAUCUGCGUAGGUUCUUCUAUUGUUUGUAAUAAGUCUUCUCUGUAAUGCUUUUACCUGAAGAACAAAAUAGGUUUGCACAGGAAGUGCUAUGUGUUACCUUAUCACUGUGGGUGAUUACUCUGUUGUUAGUCUCUGAAGAGAAAGCAAGCAGGCCUGCUUAGACAGAAUCCUUGGCUGGGAUAUCACAAUACAGUUGGGGCUGCGCCUGGAAAUAUCCCAGUCAGAAGGGACAGAGAUGCAUGUCUCCAUUCAAGAGAGAUGACAGCCAGAUGAGCCUGAAGCCUAGCUCAUAUGCAGUGAGAAACUGUGUGAGAGAGAACCUGUUACCAAUCUACUAGCUGAAGUACCUUCCGAAGAACUCAAAUAUGAAAAAACCUUGUCC